rnacentral:rRNA from 1 species
UACGAGGGGGGCGAGCGUUGUUCGGAAUUAUUGGGCGUAAAGGGUGCGUAGGCGGUUCCGCAAGUCCUGUGUGAAAUCUUCGGGCUCAACUCGAAGUCUGCACGGGAAACUGCGGGGCUUGAGUGUGGGAGAGGUGAGUGGAAUUCCGAGUGUAGAGGUGAAAUUCGUAGAUAUUCGGAAGAACACCAGUGGCGAAGGCGGCUCACUGGACCGGCAUUGACGCUGAGGUGCGAAAGCGUGGGGAGCAAACAGG